GUGAACGCUGGCGGUAGGCCUAACACAUGCAAGUCGCACGGCAGCACAGUAAGAGCUUGCUCUUACGGGUGGCGAGUGGCGGACGGGUGAGGAAUACAUCGGAAUCUACUUUUUCGUGGGGGAUAACGUAGGGAAACUUACGCUAAUACCGCAUACGACCUACGGGUGAAAGCAGGGGAUAUUCGGACCUUGCGCGAUUGAAUGAGCCGAUGUCGGAUUAGCUAGUUGGCGGGGUAAAGGCCCACCAAGGCGACGAUCCGUAGCUGGUCUGAGAGGAUGAUCAGCCACACUGGAACUGAGACACGGUCCAGACUCCUACGGGAGGCAGCAGUGGGGAAUAUUGGACAAUGGGCGCAAGCCUGAUCCAGCCAUACCGCGUGGGUGAAGAAGGCCUUCGGGUUGUAAAGCCCUUUUGUUGGGAAAGAAAAGCAGCAGGUUAAUACCCCGCUGUUCUGACGGUACCCAAAGAAUAAGCACCGGCUAACUUCGUG
rnacentral:rRNA from 1 species